ACGGCCGUAUCACGUUGAAGCACUAGUUUCGGUGCGAUUACCGAAGUUAAGCAACGUCAAGCUUGGUCAGUACCUAGAUGGGUGACCGCUUGGGAAUACCAGGUGCUGUAAA